AGAACUGGGCCUUUACAGCAACAGCAUACAAUGCCCUUGGGUGGCAUCUCGUGAGCCCUUCUCCUCGGGACCUUUCUGCCCCAUGCUCAGCGUGGUGAUGUGUGCCGGCCAGUGCAGCAAGGAGCCCUCUUCAGGGGCUCGGUGGGGGGAGGCUCACAUGGCCUGGAUGGCCGGCAGUGGGACAUGGGUACUUAGGAAAUACCGAACCUACAAAUAUUCAUGUUUUCAAGCAACCAUGUAAUAGUCGUAUUAUAUUUAUAGCAUCACACAGCCAGUGCCUGACACAUAAGCACAGCAGGUGCUCCACACGUGAGAAUGAAGACAUGCUGUGAAGGGUGCGGGCAGAGAGAAUUCUCAGCCCAUGCUGAUCUCAUUUGCCUUCCAUCCUCGGCCACAGCCCUGAGUGGUCUUUAGAUAGAACCACCCACCACACCAGACCUGAGUGGUCUUUAGAUAGAACCACCCAUCACACUGUUUCAUGCUCCUGCUCAGCUGGGGUCAUUAUGUAUCUUUCUUUGGUUGUCUUUGCAACUGUACCUGUUACUUUCAGCAGUAAGUGACAUGAAACCUAACUUCCUCAACCUAGCUCAAAGGAGGGCCACACAACGCUGUGCAACAGCUCCCGUGUCUCCAAGGACCCAGCGUCUUUUUACAGUUCCGUUCUUCCAUUCUUAACCAGCCUGGAGCAGAUAGAUGGCAUUGGGAUUGUACCUCACGCCAACCACAGUGUGAUUCAGCCUUAGAAUGAGAGAGUUGUAGCUUUUGCAUGAGAGAGCAAGUGUACAAGUUACCACCGCAGCAUCCGGCACAUAGCAGUUGCUCAACAAAUACCAUCAGCCUUAAGGGUCAUGUUUCCAAUUUCAGGGGGGGUAAAGAAUAUUAUGUCUUAGAAAACUCAGGAAAAUGUCUAUUCAUUUAUCUGUUCAUUCAACAAGAAUUUAUUGAGUGCCUACACAUACUUUAUAUGUGUAUGUGUGUGUGUGUGUGUGCAUACAAAUAUACAGAACAUCCAAAUCCUGGUCAGGAGGAGGCAUGGGUGAAUGGAAUGAGCCCUGCAUCUGGAAGUGUGGAUCCCAAUGGAAGAGGCCUGCAUGUGCAUCAGCAGGUGCAGCCCAGGCAAAGGCUGAUAAAGCUGCAACAAGGAUGAACCAAGCAGAGUGAGAGCAUGGGAGAAGUAUGCAUGGCUUUCUGGGGAGAAGGCCAUUGAGUUGAAUCUGGAGUAGCUCCCCUUCCACAAGUGGAGAUCUGGGAAGGCAACCACCCUAAUUAGAGGAGAGAGCAGGAAAAUACAGGGAAAUUUCAAGAGACCAAAAAUAAUUUGUUUUACAUGUGGUACAUAUCCAACAUGGAAUACUACACAGCCAUAAAAAAGAAUAGAAUUGUGUCUUUUGCAGCAACAUGGAUGCAGCUGGAAGCCAUUCUCCUCAGCAAAUUAACACAGGAACGAAAACCAAAUACCACAUGCUCUCACUUAAAAGUGGGAGCUAAACACUGACUACACAUGGACACAAAGAUAACAAAAAUAGAAACUGGGGACUACAAGAAGGAGAAGACUACAAGGGGCAAAGGUUGAAAAACCACCUGUUGGGUACCAUGCUCACUGUUUGGGUGGUAGGUUCAAUAGAAGCCCAAACCUCGGCAUCACACAAUAUCCCCAUGUAACAACCUGCACGUGUACCCCCUGAUUCUAAAAUAGUUGAAAAUUUUUUAAAGGUUGAAAAAUUAAGGAUAAAUAAAUAAUUGAUGAAAAUUUUUUAAAAAUUUAUUUUGGGCCAGACACGGUGGCUCACGCCU
rnacentral:lncRNA from 1 species